rnacentral:rRNA from 1 species
GUAGGGUGCAAGCGUUAAUCGGAAUUACUGGGCGUAAGGCGUGCGCAGGCGGUUAUGCAAGACAGAGGUGAAAUCCCCGGGCUCAACCUGGGAACUGCCUUUGUGACUGCAUGGCUAGAGUACGGUAGAGGGGGAUGGAAUUCCGCGUGUAGCAGUGAAAUGCGUAGAUAUGCGGAGGAACACCGAUGGCGAAGGCAAUCCCCUGGACCUGUACUGACGCUCAUGCACGAAAGCGUGGGGAGCAAACAGGAUUAGAUACCCUGGUAGUCCACGCCCUAAACGAUGUCAACUGGUUGUUGGGAGGGUUUCUUCUCAGUAACGUAGCUAACGCGUGAAGUUGACCGCCUGGGGAGUACGGCCGCAAGGUUG